UACGUAGGGUGCAAGCGUUAUCCGGAAUUAUUGGGCGUAAAGAGCUCGUAGGCGGUUUGUCGCGUCUGCUGUGAAAACCGGAGGCUCAACCUCCGGCCUGCAGUGGGUACGGGCAAACUAGAGUGCGGUAGGGGAGAUUGGAAUUCCAGGUGUAGCGGUGAAAUGCGUAGAUAUCUGGAGGAACACCGGUGGCGAAGGCGGCAUCCUGGACCAACACUGACGCUGAGUGAGCGAAAGCCAGGGGAGCAAACGGG
rnacentral:rRNA from 1 species